CUCUCCUUCAAUAUCCCACUGAGAACUCACCCCCAGGAUGGGACUCUGCUCACCCCGUCCUCUACUCAAGCAGAAGCCUCUCAGCGAUCAUGUAAAUAACUGUAUAACUUUAAUUGGCUCUGUUUAUAAGCCUCUUAUAUCUUUUUUUCCCUCUAGGUAUUUUUCCAUGUGUUUAUCCUGUCUCCAUUAAUUUGUAAUCUUCCAGAGGGCAAGGCCUGAACACAAGCUUCUGUUGGUGUAAAGUGGAGGCACAGGCUGCAGGACUGUCUCAGAAGGGAAAUAAUAUUUACCUUCCAAACUGAGAUCUAAAACCCGAACAAAGCCUCAGGAAACAUACUCCACCACCAUCUUACAAGUUUGUGCUACGGGUGGAGGGAAAAUGAAUCUAAUGUAGGAGGCCUCCCGCUGUGCGUCUAGCAGGAAAGACCAUACGGUGCAAGUCUCCAGGAUCACUAGAGGGGUGGAUUGUUCAUUUCAGUCCAGGUAGCAACAGGAAGCCCGUGCAAAUGUUCCUCUCUCACUGCGGGGCUAAGGAGUGUGGGUCCUUUCCCGCGACUACCUGCUUGCCUCUCUCAGAACCUGCAAGUGAAGUGCGGAAGAUCUGUCUAUCUUCUCGGCGGCGCAGAGCCCAAGGUAGAAACCGAUGGAGGCGGUGCACUAGAUAACAUCAAAGCCCCGGGCAGGGGCCAGAAAGGGGGGCACAGGCAGCCCGGGGAAUGAAGCGCCUCCCUCUAGCAUUUCCUCUCACGCCCACUUCCAACCUAGGAGGCUUUUGGUUUCUGCUUUUUUGUUUUUAAAAUUAAAAGUUAAACCCAG
rnacentral:lncRNA from 1 species